rnacentral:rRNA from 1 species
GCUUAACACAUGCAAGUCGAACGGCAGCACGAAGAGCUUGCUCUUUGGUGGCGAGUGGCGAACGGGUGAGUAAUGUAUCGGAACGUGCCCAGUAGCGGGGGAUAACUGGCCGAAAGGUCAGCUAAUACCGCAUACGCCCUACGGGGGAAAGGGGGGGAUCGCAAGACCUCUCACUAUUGGAGCGGCCGAUAUCGGAUUAGCUAGUUGGUGGGGUAAAGGCCUACCAAGGCGACGAUCCGUAGCUGGUUUGAGAGGACGACCAGCCACACUGGGACUGAGACACGGCCCAGACUCCUACGGGAGGCAGCAGUGGGGAAUUUUGGACAAUGGGGGGAACCCUGAUCCAGCCAUCCCGCGUGUGCGAUGAAGGCCUUCGGGUUGUAAAGCACUUUUGGCAGGGAAGAAACGGCCCGGGAUAAUACCCUGGGCUAAUGACGGUACCUGCAGAAUAAGCACCGGCUAACUACGUGCCAGCAGCCGCGGUAAUAC